rnacentral:rRNA from 1 species
UUCCGGUUGAUCCUGCCGGAGGACAUUGCUAUUGGGAUUCGAUUUAGCCAUGCUAGUCGAACGAGUUUAGACUCGUGGCAGAUAGCUCAGUAACACGUGGCCAAGCUACCCUUCAGUCGGCAAUACCCUCGGGAAACUGAGGUAAAUGGCCGAUGUGGGACGCCUGCUGGAAUGCGGCGUUCUCUAAAGAUCACGCUGAAGGAUGCGGCUGCGGCCGAUUAGGUUGACGGUGGGGUAACGGCCCACCGUGCCAGUAAUCGGUACGGGUGAUGAGAGUCAGAGCCCGGAGACGGAAUCUGAGACAAGAUUCCGGGCCCUACGGGGCGCAGCAGGCGCGAAACCUUUACACUGCACGAAAGUGCGAUAGGGGAAUCCCAAGUGCGAGGGCAUAUUAGCCCUCGCUUUUCUCGACUCUAAGGUGGUCGAGGAAUAAGAGCUGGGCAAGACCGGUGCCAGCCGCCGCGGUAAUACCGGCAGCUCGAGUGAUGUCCAAUAUUAUUGGGCCUAAAGCGUCCGUAGCUGGCCGCGCAAGUCCGUCGGGAAAUCCACCUGCUCAACAGGUGGGCGUCCGGCGGAAACUGCGUGGCUUGGAACCGGAGGGCUCAGAGGGUACGUCCGGGGUAGGAGUGAAAUCCCGUAAUCCCGGACGGACCACCGAUGGCG